rnacentral:rRNA from 1 species
CAGUCGCCACGGUAAUACGAAGGGUGCAAGCGUUACUCGGAAUUACUGGGCGUAAAGCGUGCGUAGGUGGUGGUUUAAGUCCGUUGUGAAAGCCCUGGGCUCAACCUGGGAAUUGCAGUGGAUACUGGGUCACUAGAGUGUGGUAGAGGAUAGUGGAAUUUCCGGUGUAGCAGUGAAAUGCGUAGAGAUCGGAAGGAACAUCUGUGGCGAAGGCGACUAUCUGGGCCAACACUGACACUGAGGCACGAAAGCGUGGGGAGCAAACAGGAUUAGAUACCCCUGUAGUCCCUGUCUCUUUACA